UGCCGCGCCGUGCCGGGUAGUAGUAAUGCCCCGAAUGUUACGAUUGAAGUACAUUGACAACACGUAGCGCGGUUUU
rnacentral:sRNA from 12 species